rnacentral:rRNA from 1 species
UACAGAGGGGGCCAGCGUUAUUCGGAAUUAUUGGGCGUAAAGGGCGCGUAGGCGGCUUUGCGUGUCUUUCGUGAAAUCCCUCGGCUCAACUGAGGACGUGCGGAAGAAACUGCAGGGCUGGAGUCCGGGAGAGGAGGGUGGAAUUCCCAGUGUAGCGGUGAAAUGCGUAGAUAUUGGGAGGAACACCGGUGGCGAAGGCGGCCCUCUGGACCGGUACUGACGCUGAGGCACGAAAGCGUGGGGAGCAAACAGG